rnacentral:miRNA from 3 species
AACACAGCUGGUGGUAUCCAGU